GUGGGGAAUAUUGGACAAUGGGCGAAAGCCUGAUCCAGCCAUACCGCGUGUGUGAAGAAGGUCUUCGGAUUGUAAAGCACUUUAAGUUGGGAGGAAGGGCAGUAAGUUAAUACCUUGCUGUUUUGACGUUACCGACAGAAUAAGCACCGGCUAACUUCGUGCCAGCAGCCGCGGUAAUACGAAGGGUGCAAGCGUUAAUCGGAAUUACUGGGCGUAAAGCGCGCGUAGGUGGUUUUGUAAGUUGGAGGUGAAAUCCCCGGGCUCAACCUGGGAACUGCCUCCAAAACUGCAUGACUAGAGUACGGUAGAGGGUAGUGGAAUUUCCUGUGUAGCGGUGAAAUGCGUAGAUAUAGGAAGGAACACCAGUGGCGAAGGCGACCACCUGGACUGAUACUGACACUGAGGUGCGAAAGCGUGGGGAGCAAACAGGAUUAGAUACCCCUGUAGUCC
rnacentral:rRNA from 1 species